UACAGCCAUAUCACAUUGAAACACCAGUUCCUGUAUGAUCACUGAAGUUAAGCAACACCGAGCCUAGUCAGUUCCUAGAUGGGUAACUGCUUGGGAAUACCAAGUGCUGAAA